rnacentral:rRNA from 1 species
AAACCAACAGGGAUUGCCUUAGUAGCGGCGAGUGAAGCGGCAAAAGCUCAAAUUUGAAAUCUGGCGCCUUCGGUGUCCGAGUUGUAAUUUGAAGAUUGUAACCUUGGGGUUGGCUCUUGUCUAUGUUUCUUGGAACAGGACGUCACAGAGGGUGAGAAUCCCGUGCGAUGAGAUGCCCAAUUCUAUGUAAGGUGCUUUCGAAGAGUCGAGUUGUUUGGGAAUGCAGCUCUAAGUGGGUGGUAAAUUCCAUCUAAAGCUAAAUAUUGGCGAGAGACCGAUAGCGAACAAGUACAGUGAUGGAAAGAUGAAAAGAACUUUGAAAAGAGAGUGAAAAAGUACGUGAAAUUGUUGAAAGGGAAGGGUUUGAGAUCAGACUCGAUAUUUUGUGAGCCUUGCCUUCGUGGCGGGGUGACCCGCAGCUUAUCGGGCCAGCAUCGGUUUGGGCGGUAGGAUAAUGGCGUAGGAAUGUGACUUUACUUCGGUGGUGUGUUAUAGCCUGCCUUGAUGCUGCCUGCCUAGACCGAGGACUGCGAUUUUAUCAAGGANGNUGGNAUAAUGAUCCCNAACCGC